rnacentral:rRNA from 1 species
UGCGUAGGCGGUUCGUUAAGUCUGAUGUGAAAGCCCCCGGCUCAACCGGGGAGGGCCAUUGGAAACUGGGAGGCUUGAGUAUAGGAGAGAAGAGUGGAAUUCCACGUGUAGCGGUGAAAUGCGUAGAGAUGUGGAGGAACACCAGUGGCGAAGGCGACUCUUUGGCCUAUAACUGACGCUGAGGCGCGAAAGCGUGGGGAGCAAACAGGAUUAGAUACCCGCGUA